CUGCUGCCUUCCGUAGGAGUCUGGUCCGUGUCUCAGUACCAGUGUGGGGGACCUUCCUCUCAGAACCCCUACGCAUCGUCGCCUUGGUGGGCCGUUACCCCGCCAACUAGCUAAUGCGACGCAUGACCAUCCGUAGCCGGAAUCGCUUCCUUUAAACCCGAGGAGAUGCCUCCUCGGGUUGUUACGCGGUAUUAGACGGAAUUUCUUCCGCUUAUCCCCCUGCUACGGGCAGGUUUCAUACGUGUUACUCACCCGCGCGCCGGUCGCCGGCGGAG
rnacentral:rRNA from 1 species